rnacentral:lncRNA from 1 species
GCGUGCCUGGAAGUGGAUCCCUCGUACAAAGCCCUGCGGGUGAAGGGCUGUGACCCCAGGAGCCCUCACCAGAAGUGGAGGUUCGGCAGGUACCACGCCGACUGAGGCCAGCCCGGCCGCGGCGGCACCGCGGGCUCGGCGGGACAUCGGCGUGGCUGACGGCAGCCACCAAGAGGGAAGAGCAUUUCCACUGGAACUGGAACCCGUGGUGUGAUACCAGAGUGUGGCGGGAUCCAAACGCCCAGAGCAGCACGGCUGCUGUGGCAGGACCUGAAUGGAGCAGCGUCGUUUUCCCUCACCACAGGAGACUGGGAAAAACUCGUUUUCUGUAUUAUUAAAUGGAAAUAUUUUUUGAAGUCCCCAUCCUACUGUAAGAAAACAUCGCUCAGCUCCCCCUGACAGCAGCAUAAGCUACAGAAAUACUUCUGGGGCCCUUAAGUCUGUAAGCAGCAAACUGGGCUGCUCAUUCCUCCAUGGAAACUGGAAGUUUGUUGACCAAUGCAUCAAAAAAUACCCAGCACCGUGUCCACGCUGGAUCUGGCUGCAGGAUCCAUCCCUGUGGGACCUGUUGUGUGACAGGGCCUCCUCCCGAGUUACUGCCAGGCUGAACCGUAAGUCAUCGCCCCAGAGGAGCCUUCACAGCACCGAUUCCUCUGGUUUCUGGCCUGUUGGCUCCUUCCUCGCUGCAGGAACUGAGCUGGUUGCUGCAGCCACAGCUGCUGCAGGUGUUGUGACAACUGUCACCAACACACUCCACAAGGCUCUGCUCUUACUCACCUGCCCUCAGCCCGCACCAGCACGGCAGAAAUGGAGAAAAAGGAUUUUCGGGCUGUGGUUGCCAUGCCCUGGCCAGCACCUGCCUCAAAGUGCCUCUGCUCCGAGGGACAAUUCCAAUGUCUGCGUGUCCCCUGCCCUCGCACGCCGGGCAGGCAGCUCCCUGCCCCGCUCCCCCCUGCGUGUCCGACCCUCUGCCCACGGGCAUGGCCAGAGGUCUGGCACCGCGUCUCUGCCCGUUCCUUGCCUGUGGAUCCUGGCUGUCCACACCACACCCACCGGAGGCCAGGCAGGGUGGGCAGGGUUCUCCGGCCCCCCGAGCAUCCCGGCACUUCUAUUUUUUCACUUUUUUAACC